AUUGAACGCUGGCUGCAGGCCUAACACAUGCAAGUCGAACGAGUGGCGGACGGGUGAGUAAUGUCUGGGAAACUGCCUGAUGGAGGGGGAUAACUACUGGAAACGGUAGCUAAUACCGCAUACCCUCGGAUGUGCCCAGAGGGGAUUAGCUAGUAGGUGGGGUAAAGGCUCACCUAGGCGACGAUCCCUAGCUGGUCUGAGAGGAUGACCAGGCACACUGGAAUUGGGACACGGUCCAGACAGCUAAGGGAGGCAGCAGGGGGGAAUAUUGCACAAUGGGCGCAAGCCGGAUGCAGCCAUGCCGCGUGUAUGAAGAAGGCCUUCCGGUUGUAAAGUACUGUCAGCGGGGAGGCGGUAACAGCAGAAGAAGCACCGGCUAACUCCGUGCCAGCAGCCGCGGUAAUAC
rnacentral:rRNA from 1 species